rnacentral:rRNA from 1 species
GACGAACGCUGGCGGCGUGCCUAAUACAUGCAAGUAGAACGCUGAAGGAGGAGCUUGCUUCUCUGGAUGAGUUGCGAACGGGUGAGUAACGCGUAGGUAACCUGCCUGGUAGCGGGGGAUAACUAUUGGAAACGAUAGCUAAUACCGCAUAAGAGUAGAUGUUGCAUGACAUUUGCUUAAAAGGUGCAAUUGCAUCACUACCAGAUGGACCUGCGUUGUAUUAGCUAGUUGGUGGGGUAACGGCUCACCAAGGCGACGAUACAUAGCCGACCUGAGAGGGUGAUCGGGCACACUGGGACUGAGACACGGCCCAGACUCCUACGGGAGGCAGCAGUAGGGAAUCUUCGGCAAUGGACGGAAGUCUGACCGAGCAACGCCGCGUGAGUGAAGAAGGUUUUCGGAUCGUAAAGCUCUGUUGUAAGAGAAGAACGAGUGUGAGAGUGGAAAGUUCACACUGUGACGGUAUCUUACCAGAAAGGGACGGCUAACUACGUG